GACGAACGCUGGCGGCGUGCUUAACACAUGCGAGUCGAACGGAAAGGCCCUGCUUUUGUGGGGUGCUCGAGUGGCGAACGGGUGAGUAACACGUGAGUAACCUGCCCUUGACUUUGGGAUAACUUCAGGAAACUGGAGCUAAUACCGGAUAGGAGCUCCUGCUGCAUGGUGGGGGUUGGAAAGUUUCGGCGGUUGGGGAUGGACUCGCGGCUUAUCAGCUUGUUGGUGGGGUAGUGGCUUACCAAGGCUUUGACGGGUAGCCGGCCUGAGAGGGUGACCGGCCACAUUGGGACUGAGAUACGGCCCAGACUCCUACGGGAGGCAGCAGUGGGGAAUAUUGCACAAUGGGCGGAAGCCUGAUGCAGCAACGCCGCGUGCGGGAUGACGGCCUUCGGGUUGUAAACCGCUUUCGCCUGUGACGAAGCGUGAGUGACGGUAAUGGGUAAAGAAGCACCGGCUAACUACGUG
rnacentral:rRNA from 1 species